UUUAUAGAAAUAUACGUUGGCUUAGAUAAAAGUGAAGUUAAGAAAAGGUCAUGUCAUUGACUCUUGCUCUAUCCUUGCUUUUAGCAAAGUCCCAGCACAUAUAGUAGUUGGGCCCACUCUCUUUGUUUCCCUCUCUACUGCACUCGAGCAAUGGGAAGCCCAACGGAGCCCAGAAGGGUUCAGCCGAAACAAUCUGAGCGCCGCCACCUCCAAGCCUUCAUGCAGACGCUCCUCCAACAUCCUUUAACUUAUCCCUCAAUGUCCUGCUGGAUUUGAGCAUCAUAGGAGAGGGGAUCCUUCUUUAAAAUCUCAUCCACCUCCUCUCCUCAUUCACUCCACUCUCAUCUCCAUCAAGAUCCACACCAGAAACCCCUACUCACCACCAUAGCUGGCAAAGGCCUCGUUUCCCUUCACCAACUUGGGCUCAACCUUCGAUCUCGAUGGGGAAAUCCCUCCAACGAAUGCCAUUGCCCCUAUUGGUGAUCUGGUGAUGGAGGUAGUAUAGGCACCAGACGUUGAGUCCCUGGCCGUCAUACCACCCGAGGGGCGAAGUGGCGGCACAAGGGGCACCGCUAGGAGUUCGGCAAAACUGGGGGUUCAGCCGAACCAGGCCAGCGCCGCCUCGGCCGCCCACUCGACCCCUCGCUCGCCUUCACCAAGGAAGACACCAAAAUUGUGUGAGUACG
rnacentral:lncRNA from 1 species